rnacentral:rRNA from 1 species
CCUACGGGUGGCAGCAGUGAGGAAUAUUGGUCAAUGGCCGCAAGGCUGAACCAGCCAAGUCGCGUGAGGGAUGACGGCCCUAUGGAUUGUAAACUUCUUUUGUCAGGGAGUAAAGUGCGCCACGUGUGGUGCUUUGUGAGUACCUGAUGAAUAAGCAUCGGCUAACUCCGUGCCAGCAGCCGCGGUAAUACGGAGGGUGCGAGCGUUAUCCGGAUUUAUUGGGUUUAAAGGGUGCGUAGGCGGAAUGUUAAGUCAGCGGUAAAAUGUCGGGGCUCAACCCGGUCGUGCCGUUGAAACUGGCGUUCUUGAGUGAGCGGGAGGUAUGCGGAAUGCGUGGUGUAGCGGUGAAAUGCAUAGAUAUCACGAAGAACUCCGAUUGCGAAGGCAGCAUACCGGAGCGCAACUGACGCUGAUGCUCGAAAGCGUGGGUAUCGAACAGGAUUAGAUACCCUGGUAGUC